rnacentral:tRNA from 1 species
GCCUGGGUGGCUCAGUCGGUUGAGCACUCGACUUUGGCUCAGGUCAUGAUCUUGUAGUUCAUGGGUUCGAGCCCCGUGUCAGGCU